rnacentral:rRNA from 1 species
AUUGAACGCUGGCGGCAGGCCUAACACAUGCAAGUCGAGCGGAUGAAGGGAGCUUGCUCCUGGAUUCAGCGGCGGACGGGUGAGUAAUGCCUAGGGAUCUGCCUGGUAGUGGGGGAUAACGUCCGGAAACGGGCGCUAAUACCGCAUACGUCCUGAGGGAGAAAGUGGGGGAUCUUCGGACCUCACGCUAUCAGAUGAGCCUAGGUCGGAUUAGCUAGUUGGUGGGGUAAAGGCCUACCAAGGCGACGAUCCGUAACUGGUCUGAGAGGAUGAUCAGUCACACUGGAACUGAGACACGGUCCAGACUCCUACGGGAGGCAGCAGUGGGGAAUAUUGGACAGUGGGCGAAAGCCUGAUCCAGCCAUGCCGCGUGUGUGAAGAAGGUCUUCGGAUUGUAAAGCACUUUAAGUUGGGAGGAAGGGCAGUAAGUUAAUACCUUGCUGUUUUGACGUUACCAACAGAAUAAGCACCGGCUAACUUCGUG